GAUGAACGCUGGCGGCGUGCCUAAUACAUGCAAGUCAAGCGAACAGACGAGGAGCUUGCUCCUCUGACGUUAGCGGCGGACGGGUGAGUAACACGUGGAUAACCUACCUAUAAGACUGGGAUAACUUCGGGAAACCGGAGCUAAUACCGGAUAAUAUAUUGAACCGCAUGGUUCAAUAGUGAAAGACGGUUUUGCUGUCACUUAUAGAUGGAUCCGCGCCGCAUUAGCUAGUUGGUAAGGUAACGGCUUACCAAGGCAACGAUGCGUAGCCGACCUGAGAGGGUGAUCGGCCACACUGGAACUGAGACACGGUCCAGACUCCUACUGGAGGCAGCAGUAGGGAAUCUUCCGCAAUGGGCGAAAGCCUGACGGAGCAACGCCGCGUGAGUGAUGAAGGUCUUCGGAUCGUAAAACUCUGUUAUUAGGGAAGAACAAAUGUGUAAGUAACUAUGCACGUCUUGACGGUACCUAAUCAGAAAGCCACGGCUAACUACGUG
rnacentral:rRNA from 1 species